rnacentral:lncRNA from 1 species
GGGAUCUAUUACAGAUUCACAGAUAUCAAAUUGGAGUCAGACGUCAGAAUUUUUGUGGCACAGGGAAGUACAUGUACUGAUCAUCAACUUGGUAAUGUUAAUAACUGUUUGACACUGAUCUCAAAUAAUACUGUGAGUUCCUUAAAAUUGCAACUAAAACAACUUGGAAUAGUACAUCAGACUGCACCAAAAGAUACUAUACACGAAAAAAACUGAGGAAGUUGUAUCACACAUAUUUGAAUUGCACCUGGCCAGUCUGAUGAAUUUAAAAGAAAGCAAAACUAUCUUCUGGAAUUACAACUUCAUUACCUGAAGGAUUUAUAUUAACAUUAUUUAAGAUGAACAUACAGACUGAAAACAAUGUAUUAAAGUAGCAACUGCUGGCUGUUCUGUCCAAAAAAUACACAAAGUCAGAUAUAAACAGAUACAUACCUAACAUUUCAAGCUACAUGUAUUAUCAGUCUAAAUAUUAGAUAUUGAAACCACAGGAUUAGUUGACAUGGUCAAAGAAAAAUACCCCAGAAAAAGGAUGAACACUGUCAAAUUAAAACAUUCUAUGGCAUUCUUAACUGACUCCUGUUUUGUUCAAUCAGUUAGUUAAAUGUAUGAAACACCAGAUAUGAAAUUGGACUCUGUGGCAAAAGUCUAAGUAUUCCAGAUGUAGUCAGAACAGUAUGUCUUUCACAGAUGGUUAAUAUAUAUAUGAUAUAUAUCUUUCUUAUUGUGAAAAUACUGACUUUACUCCAUUAAGAAAAUCAUCCUUGUAUAGAAUCUUACAAACAUAUGCAGCUUCAAAAAGAACAAGUUUACAAGGUCUAGACAAUAUUGCAACAGAUGAAAAUGACACAUUUACACGACUUGAAGAGAUGAUUGAAGAGCUUCAUAAUAAGGGAUCCACAUGUAUGUCAAAUGAACAGCCCAAGUUUUGUAAGAAUAAGCUUUCUGCAGCAAAGCAGUGCCUUAAAAUUGAUUUUAAACUACGUCAUGUACAUUGUGCAUCUCAGAGUAGACGUGCAGACCAUUGCAUUACUUGACUUCUCAGUUACCCAAAAAGGCUAGAAUUAUACUCAGCAUGUGAUCAUGAGCAGUGUCAGCUGAUUCGAGAUGUUGAAAAUGUUACAGUGUGCUCAGUUCUGUGAAGAUUCAGGAGAGAAAAUUAACUGUAUCAAACCAUGGAUCAGAUGCAUGUCUGGAAGAGACAUAUAGUCUGAACAAUCAACUAAGACCAAUCACAACUGGAUAUCCUAAAGGACCUCAAGCCUCAGCAGAUUUUAAUAAUCAUGGAGUUUGCAAUGAAAUUCCUGCCAUAAAAGGUAUAUAUAACUAUUCAAAUGCAUAAAAUUUAGAUUUUUAUACGACCGCAAAAUUUGAAAAAUUUUUCGUCAUAUAUUGCUAUCACGUUGGCGUCGUCGUCGUCGUCGUCGUCGUCCGAAUACUUUUAGUUUUCGCACUCUAACUUUAGUAAAAGUGAAUGGAAAUCUAUGAAAUUUUAACACAAGGUUUAUGACCACAAAAGGAAGGUUGGUAUUGAUUUUGGGAGUUUUGGUCCCAACAUUUUAGGAAUUAGGGGCCAAAAAGGGCCCAAAUAAGCAUUUUCUUGGUUUUCGCACUAUAACUUUAGUUUAAGUUAAUAGAAAUCUAUGAAAUUUUGACACAAGAUUUAUGACCACAAAAAAACGGUUGGGAUUGAUUUUGGGAGUUUUGGUUUCAACAGUUUAGGAAUUAGGGGCCAAAAAAGGGCCCAAAUAAGCAUUAUUCUUGGUUUUCGCACAAUAACUUUAGUUUAAGUAAAUAGAAAUCAAUGAAAUUUAAACACAAUGUUAAUGACUACAAAAGGAAGGUUGGUAUUGAUUUUGGGAGUUUAGGUCCCAACAGUUUAGGAAUUAGGGGCCAAAAAGGGACCCAAAUAAGCAUUUUUCUUGGUUUUCGCACCAUAACGUUAGUAUAAGUAAAUAGAAAUCUAUGAAAUUUAAACACAAGGUUUAUGACCAUAAAAGGAA